CCACAGCAUAUGGUGGUGACAGGGGACUGUGUGCACCAUGACCUGGACUCCUCUCUUCCUCACCUUCAUUGCUCACUGCACAGGAUCCUGGGCCCAGUCUGUGCUGACUCAGCCACCCUCAGUAUCUGGGAGUCUGCAUGAGAGGGUCACCAUCUCCUGCCUUGGAGGCAGCAACAACAUAGGAAACGGUUAUGAUGUACACUGGUACCAACAGCUCCCAGGAUCAGCCCCCAAACUCCUCAUCUAUGGUAAUAGCAAUCGACCCUCUGGUGUCCCUGACCGAUUCUCUGGAACCAAGUCUGGCAGUUCAGGCACUCUGACUAUCAGCGCACUCCAGAGUGAGGAUGAAGCUGAUUAUUUCUGCCACUCUUAUGAUAGCAGCAUCAGUGCUCCCACAGUGCUUCAGAAUCAUGAGGAAGUGAAAUAA